CAGAUACAGGCACCAGGCAGCCAGGGAUGGUUUAUUAUACCUGGGAUUAUAGAAGUGUCUGACAACUGCUUACUGUAAGCUGUCCAGAGAACACAACUGUUUCCGUGUGGCUAAAUUACAGUAUCAAAGCGAGGGGCCCUGACUGGAGUUGGUGGGACGCGGGGAUGUUUCCAUGCACAUGGUGAGCUCUCCCACCCGGAGCAAGGUCUAUGUCAAUGGGAACCUCUUCACCAGGACGUGUCAGAGGAGCUGGUGGGAUUUGCCUCUGCACUGGAGCAUCUUGGAGUCCAACACUGAGCUCUGGACAUCUCCAGGAGGCUUUGCUCCCCAGGUUUACCCCACCCUACACCCCAUCAGAGUCACAUCAAAGAGCACAGCCCUUUGUUUGGACCCUGUUUGAUGUUCGCUGCUAAUUUUUUUGGUAUGCAUGCAAGCAGUGUUUGACUCGUGCUUGUUCCCAUAAUAAACACUCACUGCAUUGCUCUUAAAUGAUUGGGAGACCUCCAAUUUUAAUCUUUUAUUCAUCAUCUUCUUCCAGCUCAGACAUGGGGAAAAACAUGUAAAUUCAAAACCUGUGAGAAUUGAAAAUUUCAUAAGUGCUGCUGACCCCUCACUGGCAGCUCUGAAUAUGAGAGAAAUAAAGGAAUUGUAAUGAGGGACCUCAUCUUUUGAUGACAGCUUUAGAGGAACCCAACACAAAGAGGGGCUGCAUCUUGCCCUGCAUGGAAUGGGGCAAGGCAGGAAGACGUGCGGUGACCUCCUGUAUGUCACCCAACAGCAACCCACAUCCCACAGUCUGCUCCCUGAGGGACACUUCUCUGGAAAAUGGGAGAGCAGAGAGUAAAUGGAACAAUUGAUGAGAAACCAGAGGUCUACGGUGAAAGUCUCUUGGUUCAGGAAGGUAUCAAUGGAUGCUGGGGGGUAAUUCACUUCCAGCAUCAGUACAAUGAAAGUCUCUAAAGUGACAUGGCUAAGGGUCUGCAUCAACAGUUUCAUCCCCUUUGAAGACUUGUUUGCCUGGUUGUGGUUGGUAUCAGUGCAUAGGUGAUAAAGUGCCAUGCAUUUCCUUCUUCUGUGACACGAGGCUGCUCAGUGAGAAGAUCUGUUCAUCAUGGAAUCACAGAAUGGCUGGGCUGGAAGGAUCCUUACAGGCCACCCAGCCCCAGUCCCUGCCAUGGGAUGGUUGCCCUUCACCAGCUCAGACUACCCAGGGUCUCAUCCAUAGCCUUGGGUACCUCCAGGGAUGGGACAUCCACCAUCUAACUCCUCCAUGGUGGUUUCCAACCCAGAUGUGAGCAAAGAAGUGCUUCAAAAUCAUUGCAGAACUUAACCCAUGACCCUUUCAAGGGUUAAAACGGCAGCUGUGGAGGGUAUUUCUGUCUUAUUUCACGUUAUUCUGAGUAAUUUACUUGGACAUGAUGCUAAACGGCUGUGCUCAAAGCAGAGUGAGACGGAGAUUUGGGAAUACUGCCUUCCUUGGCAGACCAAGCUGGUAUGUGAUCAGACAGGAAUCAUAUCAGUAAAUACGAAGCAGAGUUCACCAUCUGUUAACACCAUCCACAGAGUGGUUCUGCCCCCUGCAAGCCUGCAUCAAGCUGCCAUUCCGCAGGCGUGGGUGCAGAGCUAAGAUGGGUGGCUGCAUGCAGG
ensembl:lncRNA